rnacentral:rRNA from 1 species
CACAAGCGGUGGAGCAUGUGGUUUAAUUCGAUGCAACGCGAAGAACCUUACCUGGUCUUGACAUCCACAGAACUUUCCAGAGAUGGAUUGGUGCCUUCGGGAACUGUGAGACAGGUGCUGCAUGGCUGUCGUCAGCUCGUGUUGUGAAAUGUUGGGUUAAGUCCCGCAACGAGCGCAACCCUUAUCCUUUGUUGCCAGCGGUCCGGCCGGGAACUCAAAGGAGACUGCCAGUGAUAAACUGGAGGAAGGUGGGAUGACGUCAAGUCAUCAUGGCCCUUACGACCAGGGCUACACACGUGCUACAAUGGCGCAUACAAAGAGAAGCGACCUCGCGAGAGCAAGCGGACCUCAUAAAGUGCGUCGUAGUCCGGAUUGGAGUCUGCAACUCGACUCCAUGAAGUCGGAAUCGCUAGUAAUCGUGGAUCAGAAUGCCACGGUGAAUACGUUCCCGGGCCUU